GUGAAUCAUCAAAUUUUUGAACGCAAAUUGCGCUUCCUGGUAUCCCGGGAAGUAUGCCUGUUUGAGGGUCAGUAUUAACAAAAAAUCGGUUUGGUUGCAAAUUGUGACGUUUCCGGAGUUUGGGCUAAUCUUACAUUUUUUGGUUAAAGGCCUUAAAAUUAACUUUUUUUGGGCUUUUUUAAACUAAAUUAAUUUUUUUUUUAUUCGUCUAUUCUUUAUUCAAUCUUA
rnacentral:misc_RNA from 1 species